rnacentral:rRNA from 1 species
UACGUAGGUGGCAAGCGUUGUCCGGAUUUACUGGGCGUAAAGAGCGCGCAGGCGGUCGGAUAAGUCGAAUGUGAAAGCCCCUGGCUCAACCAGGGAGGGUCAUUCGAUACUGUUCGACUCGAAGGCAGGAGAGGGAAGUGGAAUUCCGGGUGUAGUGGUGAAAUGCGUAGAUAUCGGAGGAACACCGGUGGCGAAGGCGGCAUCCUGGACCAAUUCUGACGCUGAGGAGCGAAAGCCAGGGGAGCAAACGGG